rnacentral:tRNA from 1 species
GGCACUUUGGCGGAGUGGUUAACGCGAUGCCCUGCUAGUUUUAAACAGGAAGGCAUUCCCUUCGGGGGCGUGUGUUCGAAUCACACAGGUGUCG